rnacentral:rRNA from 1 species
UACGUAGGGGGCGAGCGUUGUCCGGAUUUACUGGGCGUAAAGAGCGCGCAGGCGGCUGGUCAAGUCCGAUGUGAAAGCUCCCGGCUUAACUGGGAAAUUGCAUCGGAAACUGAUCGGCUGGAAGGUGGGAGAGGGUAGCGGAAUUCCCGGUGUAGUGGUGAAAUGCGUAGAUAUCGGGAGGAACACCAGUGGCGAAAGCGGCUGCCUGGCCCAUUCUUGACGCUGAGGCGCGAAAGCUAGGGGAGCAAACGGG